UAAGCCCACGCCGGUCGAAGAUACCAGGCCGCUGCGACUGUUUAUUAAAAACACAGCACUCUGCAAACACGAAAGUGGACGUAUAGGGUGUGACGCCUGCCCGGUGCCGGAAGGUUAAUUGAUGGGGUUAGCUAACGCGAAGCUCUUGAUCGAAGCCCCGGUAAACGGCGGCCGUAACUAUAACGGUCCUAAGGUAGCGAAAUUCCUUGUCGGGUAAGUUCCGACCUGCACGAAUGGCGUAACGAUGGCGGCGCUGUCUCCACCCGAGACUCAGUGAAAUUGAAAUCGCUGUGAAGAUGCAGUGUAUCCGCGGCUAGACGGAAAGACCCCGUGAACCUUUACUAUAGCUUUGCACUGGACUUUGAAUUUGCUUGUGUAGGAUAGGUGGGAGGCUUUGAAGCGUGGACGCCAGUUCGCGUGGAGCCAUCCUUGAAAUACCACCCUGGCAACUUUGAGGUUCUAACUCAGGUCCGUUAUCCGGAUCGAGGACAGUGUAUGGUGGGUAGUUUGACUGGGGCGGUCUCCUCCUAAAGAGUAACGGAGGAGUACGAAGGUGCGCUCAGACCGGUCGGAAAUCGGUCGUAGAGUAUAAAGGCAAAAGCGCGCUUGACUGCGAGACAGACACGUCGAGCAGGUACGAAAGUAGGUCUUAGUGAUCCGGUGGUUCUGUAUGGAAGGGCCAUCGCUCAACGGAUAAAAGGUACUCCGGGGAUAACAGGCUGAUACCGCCCAAGAGUUCAUAUCGACGGCGGUGUUUGGCACCUCGAUGUCGGCUCAUCACAUCCUGGGGCUGAAGCCGGUCCCAAGGGUAUGGCUGUUCGCCAUUUAAAGUGGUACGCGAGCUGGGUUUAGAACGUCGUGAGACAGUUCGGUCCCUAUCUGCCGUGGACGUUUGAGAUUUGAGAGGGGCUGCUCCUAGUACGAGAGGACCGGAGUGGACGAACCUCUGGUGUUCCGGUUGUCACGCCAGUGGCAUUGCCGGGUAGCUAUGUUCGGAAAAGAUAACCGCUGAAAGCAUCUAAGCGGGAAACUUGCCUCAAGAUGAGAUCUCACUGGGACCUUGAGUCCCCUGAAGGGCCGUCGAAGACUACGACGUUGAUAGGUUGGGUGUGUAAGCGCUGUGAGGCGUUGAGCUAACCAAUACUAAUUGCCCGUGAGGCUUGACCA
rnacentral:rRNA from 1 species